UAAAGUAAGAAUCUGGAUUUUUAGAAGAACAAGUGUUCUGGCGUGAGUUUGACUGCUUUGGUUUCCGUCUCUUCAGGAAGCUGGCGGAGGAGAAAUAUGAGGAGAUCCACACCCGCAGGAGGGAGCUGAGGAGCCGCCAUUUUGAAAAAGUCAGCCUGGAUGUUUUAAAUGGGAGCAGAGAGCAGGGAGUCUGUCAGCCAAUCAGCAUCCAGGAUCACCAAACACCAGGAGGCUCACAGCCAAUCAGGACUCAGAGUGCAGGAGAGACGUCGCUGUCCGAGCAGCAGCACGAUAUCCCAGAGGAUCCUCAGGCUGCAGAGGUUUAUUACGACCAGGACGGGUUUGAUUCUUGUUCAGAGGACGAAGACACUGAAACACCUGCAGAGACACUUUACCUGUCUGACCCACAGGUGAGUCUGUGUGU